GGCAGCUCCGCGGGUGCGUGGCCGGUGAUGGUUGGGAGUUCUGGUCCCAGGCAAGGUGGGGACUGGGCACGUCGUCAAUACGAUAGAGAACGUCACUUUUCACCAUGAAGGGUUCUUCUGGAGGUGUUGGUUUAAUGGGAUUGUGGAAGAGAAUGACUCCAAUAUUUGGAAGUUCUGGUACACCAAUCAGCCACCGUCCAAGAACUGCACACACGCUUACCUGUCUCCGUACCCCUUCAUGAGAGGCGAGCACAACUCGACCUCCUAUGACUCUGCAGUUAGUCUUCUUUGAUU
rnacentral:sRNA from 1 species